UUUUCCAUGACUGAAAUGAAGUGUUAAAUUUUUAAUUUGAACAUGAGCUUUAAAGCUCUGGAAUUGC
rnacentral:tRNA from 1 species